rnacentral:lncRNA from 1 species
GGAUUUUGACUCUACUAGAGUCGCGAGAUCCAGUGGCGUGGCGUGCUUAGCGAUAUAUCAAUUGAUCUGCCUUUUAAACCUAUGAAAAAGGAUCGAUAAACAGGGUGUUCGCAGCGAACACCUUAUUAAUCAAUUCUUUACCAUAGCUUCAAAUAAGAAUAUAUCGAUAAUCGAUCAUUCACGCCUCGCCACUGGCGAGAUCUUAAUGAUCUGCUCCGCCCACCAAAUUUCCUCGUCAAAGGACGUCAUCAAAAAGUUUUGGUAUUGGAGUUGUGGAAGUUUGGAGGGCGAAUUACUAAUUAGUGGACACAACACCUUGCAAGAUUUUCGCGGGAAUAAUCAUUCAGGGAUUCGUAGAUACGGGAUAAAAAAAUGUUUGAAAGAAAUCGGCAAUGUUUACUCCAAAAAGCCAAGGCAUGAUAUUUUCAGAGGUGUCUGGCUCAAACCAGAACAUAAACAAGAAAGGAUUUAUCCACUAACAUACGUUCUAUCGGAAAGUCACCCUCGUGCUCAAGGAGAGGUGAUUUUUAUCAAUAAAAAAAUACGUGGCAAAGGUGAGGUGCCUCGAUAUCUUAGAUUUUACACAUCUGCAUAAUAAACAUAAGUAAGUGCAAAGUCAUCUAAAAACUUUGUUUUAAACUUAAAAUCUACCUCAUGCAGAGCAGCAGUACCUCCUCUGAGCAGUUACAUCUUCCAGCUUGGUCAUUGGCCCAAGAGCAGAUUAGGCGACAAUUCAGGACUGUACAGACUGAAAUUCCUUUGAGAAAGAGGCGAAAUUUGGAUGACAACUGGCGUUACAAGCUGAUGCUCCUACACCUAAGGUUCUAUGGUCUGAAUAUAGUCUACACGAGGGACGAUCUGCUCAGCAAGUUCAUAGUUACUGCUCACUUUGUCUUCCUUUUUCUCGAGGUUAUCUUCUGCUUCCAAUGCCUUGCUGCCAUAGUUUUCCACGUUGCUCAGGGCCAAAUUGUCCUCAGAGAACUCAUUAUGCACCUUCAGUUCACAGUUCUUACACUCACAAUCAUCGUCAAAGGUUUGUCACAAAUAUAAUUGUAAGAUUUUGAAAACAAGUAAGUGGUGUAGCAUACUAAUGUGUGGCUCAUUCUGAUCAUGUUGGAAAAUUGACUUUGUCCGGGUAACGAGGGACCUGUUGCAAACUUUUGCUAAAGCAAAAAUAAGAGUAGUUUCUUACAGAAAAUGUCUCAUAAAUCACAAUGAGCGCAUCAGCAAGUCUGAAAUGUACUCCUAACUUCACAAUCUGCGUAAGAAAUUCGCGGUUUUUUUUUGGCUUCCUGCUUCAAAAACGAUACUACGGCACAGGAGAACAUUUCGUUGGAGGCCGAGUUGUUCCAUCCAACCCCUGCUCAGUAGGAUGUUAAGCAACAUUCAAAAUGGCCGACGCCAAUUCGCCAAAACACUUGUGACGGGACGAGAUUCUACCCACCUGAUAACAAUCGGCGUAUUUACCAUCACAUUUUCCUCUCGUUGAUAGAUGUCCGCCUUAAUUGACCUUGUCGACUCCUCUAACGAAAUGUUCACCUGCGCCGUAGUGCCGUUUUUGAAGCGGGAAGCUAAAAAACCCGCAAAUGUCUUACGCAGAUUAUGAAGUUAGGAGAGCAUUUCAGACUUUGUCAAUGCGCUUAUCGUGAUUUUUGAGACAUUUUCUGUUAGAAUCAACUCUUAUUUCUGCUCUAUCAAAAGUUUGUAACAGCCCAUUAAUUGGCCCUAUCCAUGAAAAUUGAAGCUAGCCUCUAUGAAGCACUUGAGAUAAUCGUAAAG